rnacentral:snRNA from 1 species
AGCUUUGCACAGUGGCAGUAUCGUAGCCAGUGAAGUUUAUCCAAGGUGCGAUUAUUGCUCAUUGAAAAGAACAGGUGAGCCAGGUAAAGAAUUAGACUCCAGGGCUACAGGACUAAGGAUAUUUAUGAGUUCGUCCAACCUUCAGUGAA